rnacentral:sRNA from 1 species
UGAACUAGUCUGUUUUCAGUUCAAGCACAGUACAAGCAACAGUCCAAACUUCCCACAGUGUCCUGCCAAUGUGCCUUGACUGACUUGGAGAGUACCAUCUCCAGGGGUGAAAGAGCAGUUCA